rnacentral:rRNA from 1 species
GACGAACGCUGGCGGCGUGCUUAACACAUGCAAGUCGAACGGAAAGGCCUCUUUCGGGGGGUACUCGAGUGGCGAACGGGUGAGUAACACGUGAGUAACCUGCCCUUGACUUUGGGAUAACUUCAGGAAACUGGGGCUAAUACCGGAUAGGAGCUCCUGCUGCAUGGUGGGGGUUGGAAAGUUUCGGCGGUUGGGGAUGGACUCGCGGCUUAUCAGCUUGUUGGUGGGGUAGUGGCUUACCAAGGCUUUGACGGGUAGCCGGCCUGAGAGGGUGACCGGCCACAUUGGGACUGAGAUACGGCCCAGACUCCUACGGGAGGUAGCAGUGGGGAAUAUUGCACAAUGGGUGGAAGCCUGAUGCAGCAACGCCGGGUGCGGGAUGACGGCCUUCGGGUUGUAAACCGCUUUCGCUCAUGACGAAGCUUUGUGUGACGGUAGUGGGUAAAGAAGCACCGGCUAACUACGUG